AGUUGAGUUCAGCUCACUCUCAUAGUUGCUAGGAUCAAUGUUAGCACAUAUUAUUUCCCAUUAUACUUGAUUGCAGCUUUGUCAUAGGCCCUACAAAAAAAUGUACAUCAAUUCUCACUCCAAUCUUCAACUAAUUGUUUUUAGACCAAUAAAUUCAAUAUCUGUAUCGGUAUCUGUAUCUGCAGCUUUGCAAACACGUACCUUCUGCGUCGUUCUCAGCAUCAAAUAAUCCCAAAUAAAAGUACCUGUAAAAUCAAUCAUUAAGUUGUGUAAGAGAUUACAAAUGGGGCACAGAAACUUUCCCAUCGACAUUUCAUGUCAUCGGAUUUGGCUAGAAAACAUAUCUUGUUUGCAUAUACCGGAUGUAAAUUGUUUUUGGCCAUACACAGCAAUCAAAUCUGCAACUAAAUAUUUUUGCUCAGAACUGUCAUCAUUAACAUUCAACGGGUAGAUUUUGGAUUUUCAAUCAAUUUUAGAUGCAUUGCGUUGCAUGCAUUUUAUCUGUGCAUAUAUUUCUGAUGAACAGCUAAAUCCUAAUGUGAGUUAUCAAAAGGUCUGCAAUCACACCCAAUGUGAAAAGUAAAAUAAACAGAACACAGAC
rnacentral:lncRNA from 1 species